rnacentral:rRNA from 1 species
GACGUAGGGUGCGAGCGUUUGUCCGGAUUUAUUGGGCGUAAAGAGCUCGUAGGCGGUGUGUCGCGUCGGCCGUGAAAACCUGCAGCUUAACUGUGGGCGUGCGGUCGAUACGGGCAUCACUGGAGUUCGGCAGGGGAGACUGGAAUUCCUGGUGUAGCGGUGAAAUGCGCAGAUAGUCAGGAGGAACACCGGUGGCGAAGGCGGGUCUCUGGGCCGAUACUGACGCUGAGGAGCGAAAGCGUGGGGAGCGAACAGG